AGGGGGGAGUUGCAGCUCCUGGCAAAUGCGCCAAAGUGUCCAGCCCCACCCUCGCGACCUCUAACCUCUCCUCGGACGGGAAGACCGGCGCGUUCCACGCAUGCUCAGUACGUCCGCGCAGAUUUCUGAAGCUCGAAUCCCGCGUGCGUUGUGUACGGUAAAAGCUAAAUUCAGACUCGCUUUUUGCUCAGCAACCAAAGGGCCACCAUGCUUUAUGAUUUAUAGCAACCCCAUUAUCCCACAAGUGACACUGCAUUCCGCCUCCAGGGUCUAUGAUAAGAUCAUGGACGCAAGAGUUGCACAGCACCCUGCCUGGGAAUACCAGUCUUGCAGGCUCCCUUCCAGUUGGACCGUCUGGUGUGCCUGGCUUUCCAGAGUGUGCGCCCAGCUCCCGGCUCCAUCCUCUGUGACAGCACCACAGCCCCAUCACUGUGGGCUCGCACAGGCUCCUCAACAGCUAACAGAAGCUCAACCUCAAGAAAAUGGAAUCCCAUAUUCCAACCUGGACAUUUAGUACUGGUAAAGUCUCUUCCCUCAUCAUCUCCUCCGCUAGGACCAAUUUGGGAAGGAUCAUGCACUGUGAUCCUGUCAACACCAUCAGCUGUCAAGGUAGCAGGCCUGGACCCCUGGAUACACCACACUUGACACAAGCCCUGGGAAGCAGAAACUAUUGAUAGAACCUUGACGGAUCCUCUGCAUCCAAGCCACAAAUGAGGGAAGAGAGACACACGGAGAAACCGAAGGAGAAUAUCACUUCUCUCCACACAUCACUGGUCAAGGCCAGCUACAGGACCCCACCAAGACAGCAGAAGCCAGGAAAAUGUCUGGCUAUAUGAGCAGGUAGAAGACAGCCUAAUACCAAGCACUGGCAGCCUUGGUUAUACAAGUUCCAUACAAGAACAAGAUGUAUUUUUAACAACAAACAUAUCAAAGCAAACACUGACCCCACCCUUCUACCCUUCUGCCACAUUAUGAUGUACCACAAGGACCCUCAGAAGCCAAGCAAAUGCCAGCACCGGGCCCUGGGACUUCCCCAUCUCCAGAGCCAUGAGACAAAAUGAACUUCUUUCCUAUAGGAUUUGCCCAGUGACUGAAACAGCUACUUUGUCCCUGUCCUCACCAUCUGGUGUCAGUGGGUUUUGCUCCAAUUAGAUUACUUGGGACUCCCAAGUGUCUUCCUUGUUGGGAAGGAACCACUCACUACCACCACCAUUCUCCUUACAGGUGAUAAUUUGAGUUGUUUUCCUUGAAUGGCCCUCCUUCCUCCUUCUAGCCAAUGUGGGGUUGCUUUUGAGUAAAUUGGAUUUUAUAAAAAGUAAAUGGUG
ensembl:lncRNA